rnacentral:rRNA from 1 species
AUUGAACGCUGGCGGCAUGCUUUACACAUGCAAGUCGAGCGGCAGCGCGGGGGCAACCUUGGCGGCGAGCGGCGAACGGGUGAGUAACAUAUCGGAACGUACCCCGUCGUGGGGGAUAACACAGCGAAAGCUGUGCUAAUACCGCAUACGACCUGAGGGUGAAAGCGGGGGACCGUAAGGCCUCGCGCGAUGGGAGCGGCCGAUAUCGGAUUAGCUUGUUGGUGAGGUAAAGGCUCACCAAGGCGACGAUCCGUAGCUGGUCUGAGAGGACGACCAGCCACACUGGAACUGAGACACGGUCCAGACUCCUACGGGAGGCAGCAGUGGGGAAUUUUGGACAAUGGGGGCAACCCUGAUCCAGCCAUUCCGCGUGAGUGAAGAAGGCCUUCGGGUUGUAAAGCACUUUAGUUGGGGAGGAAGAUGAUUAGUUUAAGAGAUGAAUCAUUUGACUGUACCCAAAGAAUAAGCACCGGCUAACUCUGUGCCAGCCGCCGCGGUAA